AAAUUCUGUUUGACGACCCUCCAGUCAGACAACCGAAGCGCUAAGGCUAAGGACCUCCGUGACUUGCUGCAAGUCACCGUCGACAUCCUUAGGGGUCGAGUCACUACUACCAGCAGCAAGGUCAACAAAAUGUUGCAAAACACCAAGAAGGGCACGGUGCCAAUGCGCGUCCCCAGUUUGUGUGAGGUGGAUUAUGACACCAUGGUGAGCGUCAUUAACAUAUGUGAUGCCAUUAUCAGGGAUUACCAAUGUGACGAGGGCAGGCAAUGGUCCAAAGAGCUACUCCGUUGGAUGGAUAUGGCACGUGAUCAUGUCAACGAGUGCAUCUCCGAGCUUGUUCACAUGCCUGCGGUGGGGGGUCUUGUCAAUGAAAACAAUGAAUUGGGCAUGCUGGUUAAACUGAACGCCGCCUUGGUAGCAGCCCAUAUGUUUCCCGAGUAA
rnacentral:rRNA from 1 species